rnacentral:rRNA from 1 species
UACCCGCUGAACUUAAGCAUAUCAAUAAGCGGAGGAAAAGAAACUAACCAGGAUUCCCUUGGUAACGGCGAGUGAAGAGGGAAGAGCCCAGCACCGAAGCCUGCGGCAGUUUUGCUGUUAGGCAAUGUGGUGUGCGGGUCGGUUCGCGGGACCGUCACUCCAUCCGAAGUCCAGCAUUGAGUAUGGUUAUCACUGGAUUUGGCCCAUAGAGGGUGAGAGGCCCGUACCGGGUGGAGGUUCAGGAAUGUGCGACGGUUCACCAGACCGACCCCAGAGUCGGGUUGCUUGAGAUUGCAGCCCAAAGAGGGUGGUAAACUCCAUCCAAGGCUAAAUACUGGCACGAGUCCGAUAGCAAACAAGUACCGUGAGGGAAAGUUGAAAAGUACUCUGAAGAGAGAGUAAACAGUAUGUGAAGCCGCAUGCAGGUAAACGGGUGGCGUCAAGCUGCUAGCCCGGAGGAUUCAGCUGACUGGGAUGUAGUUAACGCGCGCCUGGUGCGUCGAGAGGCCGGAAUAAGAUGUGCUGCUGUGUGUGUGUGAUCUACCCCUCUGCUGGGGGUGGAGCGCUGCCGAUUUGCGUGCCGUUGUGCUUGUCGCGGCGGUACGUGGGUCGGUUGUCGUUAUGCGUGCCGGAUGGGUGCCGGAGCAUGUCACACUCGUCUGUUGGGCCGCCUAGUCAGUGCAUUUUCUCCGUGGUGAACACCACGACCGGUGGAGCUGCCAGUCUGCUGUGGUCAAGUCGUAUUCUCCUGGUGCGCUAACUGUGUGCUAGUUGGAUACGAUGGCAGGUGGAGUCGGUGGACGGCGCAGUGGUUGCUUCGGCGCUACGGCGUGCUAUCGUACACUCUCCAUCGUAAACGGUUGGGCAGGGGAUGACUGAGUACUGUGACAACUUCUCCUCCUCCCGGCAGACCAUGGUGGUGAAAGGGACUGUGCAGAGCACCGGAGUUAACCACCUCAUUGAUGUUGCUGCUACUGCUGCUGCCAUCGGCUUCGCGGUCGGUGGUGGUGGUGGUUGUGGGUGAUGUCAUCAUGGUACCCGACACGCACGUCACAGGUGUAGCAGGGUCGGAGGUGUGCCGCUGUCUGCCUGGGACUAGGCCUGAUUGUCGUGUUGCCUGCACAAAUGCAGGUCCGGCAGUGGUCUCGGAUUCUAGGCAGUUGCAGUGCGCGCGCCUUCAUUACUGCUGAGGAGUGUCUGUGGUACCGGGGGUGAAAUAGUCAGUGGUGCUGUGGUAGACGAGCUACCCGACCCGUCUUGAAACACGGACCAAGGAG